rnacentral:rRNA from 1 species
AACGAACGCUGGCGGCAGGCUUAACACAUGCAAGUCGAGCGCCCCGCAAGGGGAGCGACAGACGGGUGAGUAACGCGUGGGAACGUACCUUUUGGUUCGGAACAACUCCGGGAAACUGGAGCUAAUACCGGAUAAGCCCUAACGGGGAAAGAUUUAUCGCCGAAAGAUCGGCCCGCGUCUGAUUAGCUAGUUGGUGAGGUAACGGCUCACCAAGGCGACGAUCAGUAGCUGGUCUGAGAGGAUGAUCAGCCACACUGGGACUGAGACACGGCCCAGACUCCUACGGGAGGCAGCAGUGGGGAAUAUUGGACAAUGGGCGCAAGCCUGAUCCAGCCAUGCCGCGUGAGUGAUGAAGGCCUUAGGGUUGUAAAGCUCUUUUGUCCGGGAAGAUAAUGACUGUACCGGAAGAAUAAGCCCCGGCUAACUUCGUG